rnacentral:rRNA from 1 species
ACUCCUACGGGAGGCAGCAGUGGGGAAUAUUGCACAAUGGGCGCAAGCCUGAUGCAGCCAUGCCGCGUGUAUGAAGAAGGCCUUCGGGUUGUAAAGUACUUUCAGCAGUGAGGAAGGCGGAGUCGUUAAUAGCGGCCUCGUUUGACGUUAGCUGCAGAAGAAGCACCGGCUAACUCCGUGCCAGCAGCCGCGGUAAUACGGAGGGUGCGAGCGUUAAUCGGAAUUACUGGGCGUAAAGCGCAUGCAGGUGGUUCGUUAAGUCAGAUGUGAAAGCCCGGGGCUCAACCUCGGAAUUGCAUUUGAAACUGGCAGACUAGAGUACUGUAGAGGGGGGUAGAAUUUCAGGUGUAGCGGUGAAAUGCGUAGAGAUCUGAAGGAAUACCGGUGGCGAAGGCGGCCCCCUGGACAGAUACUGACACUCAGAUGCGAAAGCGUGGGGAGCAAACAGGAUUAGAUACCCUGGUAGCACAGA